UAUAUAAAGAGAUUAUUACGGAUAUCUGGCUAUAUAUUAAAGAUAGAUAUGAAAAAUUAAUAUCUAAUAUAAAUUUAAUAAUAAACAAAGUGAAUUGAAAUAUCUUAAUAACUUUAGGAAAAGAAAUCAAACGAGAUUUUAUUAUUAGUGUAUACUAAUAUAAAAAAGCUUAUAAGUAAAAUGGAAAAUAUCUGUUUGAAUAAAGGGGAACCUUCCUCUAAAGCUAAAUAUAAUAUAUAAGCGAUAGCGAAUAGUACCGUGAGGUAUAGAUAGAAAUAGUAAUUUUAUAAGCAGCUCAAAAAAAAUUUUAAAUAAAUAAUACGAGCGGACCUUUUGCAUAAUGGGUCAGCAAGUUAAACUUAGAUGCAAGCAAAUAAAAAUUAUUUGCCUAGAUAAACCAAUUAUGAGAAAAUGAUAAGUAUCUAAAUUUAGACCCGAAGGCUAGUGAUCUUACCAUGAUCAGGCUUAAGGCCGAACGGGUUAUCGUUGUAGAGAUAUCCGAUGAAUUGUGGUAAGUUGGUGAAAGACAAAACUGACUAGUAUAGCUGGUUUUCCGCGAAACCUAUGUGAGUAGGUAAUUUAAUUAACAUCUUAGCAGGUACAGAACUAGGAUCUCGGACAAUAUGUAAAUUUUGUACACAUCGGGGGAUCGUGAAGAUUUUAUCGGAGAGUAUUUGCACUCGAAAGGGCAAAGAUGAGUAUUGAAUAAUCGGACAUAGUACGAUAAGGUUGUAUGUCUAAAGGGAAACAGCCCUGAACAAGAGUUAUAAGGUUCCAAAAUUAUUAUUGAGUGAAAUUAAGGAUGUACUUAUCAAAUACAACCAGGAAAUAGGCUUAGAAGCGGCCAUUUUUUGAAGACCUCGUAACAGAGCACUGGUUAAUAAAAUUUCAUUUAAAUAGAUAUGUAUACCGAAAAUUUAACGGAUCUAAAUAAUAUACCGAAACCUUGUUCGUAUAUAUUAAUAUAUAAUAUUAUUUGUUUAAAUAUAUAUAUAUAUAUGAGGUAGCGGAACACUGGAUAAAUAUUAGAUUUUGUCUUUUUUAAGACAAAAAAUUAUAUAAGAAUCCAAGAGAGAAUGCUGGCAUGAGUAACGAAAAAGGAUUUAACAUCCUCGCCUUAAGCUUAUGGUAUUUUAUUUAAAUUUCGGUAUCUAAGUAGGAAGUAAAAUAAGUAAAAUGGUAAAUUGUUUGAAAAAAAACUUCUCCAAAUGGAUUCAAAUACGAUGAUAUAAAUAGAUUAGAGAAAAAACUUUUAUAAAGUGUUAAAAGUUCUGGAAAUUAAAUUUAAUCAAAUAAGCAAUUUUAAUUGCUCGGCGAAAUCCGAAACUAUCUAGACCGUACCUAAAUACUAACACAAGUAAGCAAGUAGAGUAUACAAAGGCGUUUGAGUGAAUAAUCAUUAAGGAACUCGGCAAAUUGACUCCGUAACUUCGGGAUAAGGAGGGCCGUUAUUACAGAAAAAUAUUUCUGUUAAAUAAGAGGAAACAUGAAAUAAUGUUGUACGACUGUUUAAUUAAAACAAAUCACUCUGCAAAGAUUAAAAAUCAAAGUAUUGAGUGUGAUGUCUGCCCAAUGUCGGUUGUAUAACUGAGAUACUUAAUUUAAAAGGUUAGGUUUUGAAGGACACUCCGAUCAAUGGCGGCCUUAUCUAUAAGGGUCCUAAGGUAGCGGAAUACCCUGGCCGUUAAAUGCGGUCUUGCAUGAAUGACUUAACGAUACAACAGCUGUCUCGAUGAUUAGCUCAGUGAAAUUGGAAUAGCGGUGCAGAUACCGCUUAACUCUAGGUAGACGAGAAGACCCUAUGCAGCUUUACUGUUACCUUUUAUGAAUAUAGUAAGUCAAUUGUGAGUGUAUAAGGUAAUUGUUAAAUAAAAUUGAAACACCUUUAUUUAAACUAUUAUAUUCUUUAUGACUGGAAGACAGUUUAUGCGGGGCACAGAUCCCAUAAAAAGUACCUGGGUAUAUCCAAAGUUAAUAAUGUAAGUUUGUAAAUUUUAAUUUACAAUAAUAAUAUAUUUAUAUUUAUAAAUUAUUAUUAUUUAGUUUGUUAUUAAUUAUAUUUUAUAUUUAUUCAGUUAUUAUUGUAUUAAAUUCGAAUUUUAUAAAAUUUAAGUAAGAUUUUAACUAUAUGGUAAAUAGAUGUAUAUCAAAUAUUAAUAAAAUUUUUUUAUUAGUAUUUUAUUUAUAUUAAUAUUGUAUAUAUAAACCUUUAUUAAUAUGAUAAUUAUUUAUACUUUAAAAGUUUAAUGGCUAAAUCUUGCUUUACUGUUUGACUUACAAGUCUAUCAGUCGCGUAAGCGGGGCAUAUGAUCACAAGAUGCAAAAAGGAAAGGUCUAUAAAAAACUUUUAUGAUAACAUAAAUUGAACAGGCUAAUUUGCGCAAGAGAGUACAAAUUGAGUGCGCGGUUUGGCACCUCGAUGUCGGCUUAGCUCAUCCACAUGAAUGUAGAAAUCAUGAAGGGUACGACUGUUCGUCGGUUAAAGAGCUACACGAGCUGGGUUUAAUACGUCGUGAGACAGUAUGGUUUCUAUCUUCUAGAGGUAAUUAGAGUCUAAUAUAGAUAGCCCCUUCGUACGAAAGGAGUUGGGUAUGCUGAUCUAUGGUUUACCUGUUGUUUAAUAUUGAUAUUAUGUAUCUUAUACUAUUUUCACUUAAGUAGUAUUGUUUAUUAAGCAUGGCAGGAAAGCUAAGUCAGUUAGAGAUAAGUGCUGAAUGCAUUUAAGCGCGAAGCUUACUAUACUAUACUCUUAUAAACGUAGUAGAACACUACGAAUAAUUUUUUCAUAGGCUUUAGUUGUAAGAAUCUUAAUUGUUUUUAGGCAUAAAGUACUAAUUUUAUAAAAUACUAAUUAUAGCUCA
rnacentral:rRNA from 1 species